rnacentral:rRNA from 1 species
CCUACGGGAGGCAGCAGUGGGGAAUAUUGGACAAUGGGCGAAAGCCUGAUCCAGCAAUGCCGCGUGAGUGAUGAAGGCCUUCGGGUCGUAAAGCUCUUUUACCAGGGAUGAUAAUGACAGUACCUGGAGAAUAAGCUCCGGCUAACUCCGUGCCAGCAGCCGCGGUAAUACGGAGGGAGCUAGCGUUGUUCGGAAUUACUGGGCGUAAAGAGUACGUAGGCGGUUAUUCAAGUCAGAGGUGAAAGCCCGGGGCUCAACCCCGGAACUGCCUUUGAAACUAGAUAACUAGAGUCUUGGAGAGGUUAGUGGAAUUCCGAGUGUAGAGGUGAAAUUCGUAGAUAUUCGGAAGAACACCAGUGGCGAAGGCGACUAACUGGACAAGUACUGACGCUGAGGUACGAAAGCGUGGGGAGCAAACAGGAUUAGAUACCCUGGUAGUCCACGCCGUAAACGAUGAUAACUAGUUGUUCGGUCACUUGGUGACUGAGUGACGCAGCUAACGCAUUAAGUUAUCCGCCUGGGGAGUACGGUCGCAAGAUUAAAACUCAAAUGAAUUGACGGCUGAGACGNGCGACGACGACGACGAGGAGAG